rnacentral:rRNA from 1 species
GACAGAGGGUGCAAACGUUGUCCGGAAUUAUUGGGCGUAAAGAGCUUGUAGGCGGUUUGUUGCGUCUGCUGUGAAAACCCGGGGCUCAACCCCCGGGCCUGCAUUCGAUACGGGCAGACUAGAGUUCGGUAGGGGAGUCUGGAAUUCCUGGUGUAGCGGUGAAAUGCGCAGAUAUCAGGAGGAACACCGGUGGCGAAGGCGGGACUCUGGGCCGAUACUGACGCUGAGGAGCGAAAGCGUGGGGAGCAAACAGG